AACGAACGCUGGCGGCAUGCCUAACACAUGCAAGUCGAACGAUGCCUUCGGGCAUAGUGGCGCACGGGUGCGUAACGCGUGGGAAUCUGCCCUUGGCUUCGGAAUAACAGUUAGAAAUGACUGCUAAUACCGGAUGAUGUCCCCCUGAGAGAUCUUGGGGACCAAAGAUUUAUCGGCCAGGGAUGAGCCCGCGUAGGAUUAGGUAGUUGGUGGGGUAAAGGCCUACCAAGCCGACGAUCCUUAGCUGGUCUGAGAGGAUGAUCAGCCACACUGGGACUGAGACACGGCCCAGACUCCUACGGGAGGCAGCAGUGGGGAAUAUUGGACAAUGGGGGGAACCCUGAUCCAGCAAUGCCGCGUGAGUGAUGAAGGCCUUAGGGUUGUAAAGCUCUUUUAUCAGGGAUGAUAAUGACAGUACCUGGAGAAUAAGCUCCGGCUAACUCCGUG
rnacentral:rRNA from 1 species